rnacentral:rRNA from 1 species
UGGGCAACCUGCAUGUUGUACUGGGAUAACUUCCUGAAACCGAAUCUAAUACCGGAUAGGAUCUUCUCCUUAUGGGAAUGAUUGAAAAAUGGUGUCGGCUAUCACUUACAUAUGGGCCCCCGGUGCAUUAGCAAGUUGGUGAGGUAACGGCUCACCAAGGCUACGAUGCAUAGCCAACCUGAGAGGGUGACCCGCCACACAGGGACUGAAACACGGCCAAGACUCCUACGGGAGGCAGCAGUAGGGAAUCUUCCGCAAUGGACGAAAGUCUGACGGAGCAACGCCGCGUGAGUGAUGAAGGCUUUCGGGUCGUAAAACUCUGUUGUUAGGGAAGAACAAGUCCGAGAGUAACUGCUCGUACCUUGACGGUACCUAACCAGAAAGCCACGGCUAACUACUUGCCAGCAGCCGCGGUAAUACGUAGGUGGCAAGCGUUAUCCGGAAUUAUUGGGCGUAAAGCGCGCGCACGGCGGUUUCUUAAGUCUGAUGUGAAAGCCCCACGGCUCAACCGUGGAGGGUCAUUGGAAACUGGGGAACUUGAAUGGCAGAAUAGAAAAGCGGAAUUCCCACGUGGUAGCG